UACGUAGGCAGCAAGCGUUGUUCGGAAUUACUGGGCGUAAAGAGUGUGUAGGCGGUUGUUUAAGUUUGGUGUGAAAUCUCCCGGCUCAACUGGGAGGGUGCGCCGAAUACUGAAUGACUUGAGUGCGGGAGAGGAGAGUGGAAUUCCUGGUGUAGCGGUGAAAUGCGUAGAUAUCAUUUGGAACGCCAACGGUGAAAACAGCUGGCUGGGGGUGUGCUGACGCUGAGACACGAAAGCCAGGGGAGCGAACGGG
rnacentral:rRNA from 1 species